ACUAUGCAGGCACGCCUUGCAGCUGGCAAAAGACGCUGGCUCGAACAGAUGGGCCCAGCAUCACUCUGGCCUCCGCCGGGGGGUGGGAGAGGGGAGAAGGGAGAAGGACUGCUCCGCUGCCCUCUGGCAGCCCCCCUUCGACCGUGAUUACACUGGUAUUCUCCAUGUGCUUCAUCAUGACUAAUGCAUUGGAACUUCCAAGGAGUGGCUGAAGAACAGGAGCAGACGAUCAAAGAUUAAGGAAGCCAGACAUAGCAUGGGAACUGAAGGCAACAUGGAAUAAACAGGGACAUGAUGUGCCAAGAAACUGCUCCAGGAUUGCCUCCAACAACUUGUCUCUUGUUCAGCUAAUAUAAGAAACAUAGCCGGAAGCUGCGGGACGACUUAUAAUCAAAAAACAUGAAAGAAGUUUUCAGAUCCGGAGGAAGAGAGUGGCUGGAGUCCAAAGGUUUCGGUGAAACACAUUAAGGGGCUUGUUUGCACACAAUUUGAUUUUUGACUUUUUCUUUCUUUCUUGGAACAGCAGAUCUCCCAGCUGUAUCACGAAUUGCUUUUGAAACUUCCCUCCGUUUUAAAGAGUGGUGUGUCAUGAAGUAUGUAAGGCUGCUGUCCCCGCAAAGUAGGAGAGAAGAAGGGGCUGUAGUGUUGGAGUUAGGACCCUGAUAGCAUCAGCUCUCAGCUGCAAUGUCUCAUAGUGACCACUGGGGGGUUUUAGGGUCAUGGAUAAAAGUGCUGGACUCCUCCCCUCUUUGUUCUCCCAGUGUUAGUCUCCAUUUUUUCUCUCCAGAGAUGGCUGUUUGUUUUGGUCUCUCUCUUCAGCCAUGAGCUACAGCUGAAAUUAAGCUGCAGGCUUUUUCGCAUUUGUUUGUAACGUUUUCUUUAAAUAAAUCCUUGUAGUUCUUCAGUACUAAAGAA